rnacentral:rRNA from 1 species
ACGAGAGAGAAGGAGCUUGCUUCUUCGAUCGAGUGGCGAACGGGUGAGUAACGCGUGAGGAACCUGCCUCAAAGAGGGGGACAACAGUUGGAAACGACUGCUAAUACCGCAUAAGCCCACGGAUCGGCAUCGAUCUGAGGGAAAAGGAGCAAUCCGCUUUGAGAUGGCCUCGCGUCCGAUUAGCUAGUUGGUGAGGUAAUGGCCCACCAAGGCGACGAUCGGUAGCCGGACUGAGAGGUUGAACGGCCACAUUGGGACUGAGACACGGCCCAGACUCCUACGGGAGGCAGCAGUGGGGAAUAUUGCACAAUGGGGGAAACCCUGAUGCAGCGACGCCGCGUGGAGGAAGAAGGUCUUCGGAUUGUAAACUCCUGUUGUUGAGGAAGAUAAUGACGGUACUCAACAAGGAAGUGACGGCUAACUACGUGCCAGCAGCCGCGGUAAAACGUA